rnacentral:rRNA from 1 species
UACGGAGGGGGCCAGCGUUGUUCGGAAUCAUUGGGCGUAAAGGGCGCGUAGGCGGCCGAUCAAGUCGAACGUGAAAUCCCCCGGCUCAACCGGGGACCUGCGUCCGAUACUGUUCGGCUCGAGUCCCGGAGAGGGUAGUGGAAUUCCCAGUGUAGCGGUGAAAUGCGUAGAUACUGGGAGGAACACCGGUGGCGAAGGCGGCUACCUGGACGGGUACUGACGCUGAGGCGCGAGAGCUGGGGGAGCAAACAGG